rnacentral:rRNA from 1 species
GUGUAAGGCCAUGCUUCCUUGAACAAGCCCAAUCUCGUCUGAUCUCGGAAGCUAAGCAGGGUUGGGCCUGGUUAGUACUUGGAUGGGAAACCACCUAGGAAGACCAGGUGCUGUAGGCG